ensembl:lncRNA
CUCUCUUUGUGGCUCCCUCCCCCCAGCCUUGCCUGCCCUCAGGGCUUAGCAUCGGUCUGGUAGCCAGAGCCUUGCCUAACAUGAAACUGGCACAAAUGAAAAGGCGGAUAAAUAAACGUCCAGGAAUCUUGUUUGUCAUAUUUAAUCCAUCACGUUUCCCAAACAGCCUGGUCAAAAAAUUCUGCAGCAGUGUUUACAUCAUCCUGAUUGAAAGCUACAUCCGUGCAUAUAAAUACCAUUCCUGGAUAUAGCUCCAGUUUCACACGGAGGCAGCUAUCAGCCUUGUCUGCCCUCACCACUGAAAGAAGAAAAAAAAAUGUUUGAAUUUCUUCAUCCCCCCAUUCCUGCCCAAUCCAGCACUCGCACAUUCAUUUUUUUUUCCCCUCCUCUUCCUUAAGUAUCCCAGUGAGCAUUGCCCAAUGCUGUGAUUUCUGGGUAUGCUCAGUGAGCGAUGGGCAAGUGGAAUUCAUUAGACCACGGGGAAAUGGUUAAUCAGUGCGCUAAUGAAAGUGGCACAACACAAGCAUUGAAACAUGCAACCUGGCAGGGCUUGGUGUCAUCACAUGCCAUACACCUGGCACUUGGCUGGGAGCAACAACCAUGUCCCUAGCUGGGAAAGCAAACCAGGAGCACAGGUCAAACCAAUGCAAAUGAAUGAGAGAUAUUUCCCACUUUAAUGACCAGGAGGCAAAACUGGAAGAGGAAAGAAGCAGUUCCACCAUUUGACCAAGGAGAGAGACAGUUGUUGAUCCUACAUCAAGACAAACAAUGGCAAAGUGAUAACGAUGAUGAAGCUCAGAAAGGAACACAGAGAGUCCCAAACCUCCCCAUGCCAUGAUCCACAAAACAUUUCCCAACAGAAUGAACAGAGAAGGGAAAAAUCAAAAAGGAAAAAGAUGGAAAGAAAAAGAAUUCCAACCUGCCUGGGAUAAGAUGGUACAUCUUGUCACAAACAGAGUGUUUAACUUACGGCUUCUUUUGUUAAAAGAAAACCAAUCAAAUCUGUCUGUUUCCAUUCCAACCUCCUUCCCUCCACUUCAGCUUAUUUUUCCUGUGGCCAAAAUUGUUCAUCGUGCUGGAUGCAAAUCAUCCCCUGCAAAUUGCAUUUUUCCAUGGUAAAUGUUUUCACCAGAGAAUGUCCCGCUAUGCUGCCUCCAGAGGUUUUCAUCCCAUUUGGACACACAUAAUGGCGUGAAACACUUUGCUCACUCAGCUCCAUUUGCAGAGUGAACCCAACGUUGCAAUGUACUGUUUGUACGUUAAUGCAUUGCAAUGACACUGGCACACUUAUUUGGUGGAAAUGGGCACAAUAUUUGAUUGCACACUUGGCAGCACUGUCCAGAGGUUGGACUUUGACUUCUAGUCUGUCUGUCUCCAGUUUCUUUGCAAAGGCUUUGAAAAACUGGGCUGUGACCCAGCCAUCCCCUUAGGUUUGGGCUUGUUUCUGAGUUCUUAUAGUUGAAAACAUCCAGCUGCAAAAGGAAAUAGCACCUGCUUUAUUCAGCUUAGCAGCACAGACAUUUCCCAGGAGCCUCCUUGUGCCCCUUGGAAUAAAAAUAAGGUUGUCAGAUGAUGCACCACAGAUAAAUCAGCAUUGUGACUGCCAGAAAAUACCCACCUCUCUAUUUUUAUAGGUGUCAUUAGCAUCCCUGCUUCUGAAAUUAGGACCUUACAGAGACAUAGGACACUGCUUUCUCAAAUAACAGCAAACCAUAUAACUUUAUAAGAAGUUUUUAAUCCCAGUAAAAGAAGCGAGACCGUAAACCCAUUUUUACCCUUCCUCCUUCACCUCUUGCCUACUCAAAAGCAGGAGCUGCUUCUGGCCUCCAGAUGUCCAACCCACAAGCUCUUCCCUUUUGCUAUUUUUGCUGCACGCUUUGAUCUUUUGCAAAUGCUGCCUGGGGGGGAGUAGGGGCUGGGGCUGUUGAUGCUGCACCCUGGGCUGCUCCAUCCAUGCCCCAGCCAAGCUCCUCAUCUUCCUCUGCCCUUGCUGCAAAGGGAGAUCUCUCCUGGCCAACAACGUCCCUGUAAGGACUGAGGUGAGGAAACAUUUAGGUAUGCUGCGUGGACAAAGCACCAGGAAUCAAGAGAAAUCCUGAGGUUCCAUCAAGGAAAGACUAAGAGUGGACGUGUCUACCAGAACUAGGGAAGCAAAAACUGGAAGAAGAAAAUGUUUACCCAAGUAUGAUAAAUAUUUCCCAUUGCUUCCUUUGGUGUUCAACUGCGUUCAGUCUUCA